rnacentral:tRNA from 3 species
CGGAAAGAGAGAGAUUCGAC